rnacentral:rRNA from 1 species
AUUGAACGCUGGCGGGAUGCUUUACACAUGCAAGUCGAACGAGUGGCGGACGGGUGAGUAAUAUAUCGGAACCUGCCCAAUAGCGGGGGAUAACUACUCGAAAGAGUGGCUAAUACCGCAUACUAUCGGAGCGGCCGAUAUCGGAUUAGCUAGUAGGUGGGGUAAUGGCUCACCUAGGCGACGAUCCCUAGCUGGUCUGAGAGGAUGACCAGCCACACUGGAACUGAGACACGGCCCAGACUCCUACGGGAGGCAGCAGUGGGGAAUAUUGCACAAUGGGCGCAAGCCUGAUGCAGCCAUGCCGCGUGUAUGAAGAAGGCCCUAGGGUUGUAAAGUACGUUCAGUCGGGAGGCGUUACCGGCAGAAGAAGCACCGGCUAACUCCGUGCCAGCAGCCGCGGUAAUAC